UCAGAAGAACAAGACUUAAACUUGCAUCAAUAACUCCCAAAGCUAUUAUUUUUUAUAAACUAUCUCCUG
rnacentral:tRNA from 1 species